CAUGUUCUUUAGUUUAUAUUUAAGGUUGGAUCUGCCCAGUGAUAGGUAAUUUAACGGCCGCAGUAUUUUGACUGUGCAAAGGUAGCGUGAUAAUUAGUCUUUUAAUUGAGGACUGGUAUGAAUGAUUUGACGAGAGAAGUUCUGUCUCAGGAAGAGUUUAAUUGAAUUUAACUUUUAAGUGAAAAGGCUUAAAUGAUUAAUGGAGGACGAUAAGACCCUAUAGAGUUUGAGGUUAUGAUUUUUUAUAUUUUUUAGUAAUUUUUUAUGUAAAUAUUUCAGUAGUCUUUAGUUGGGGUGAUAAGAAGAUUAACUAAACUCUUAUAUAACUAAACAAUGAUUUUUGUUUAAUUGAUCCAUUUAGUUUGAUUAAAAGAUUAAAUUACCUUAGGGAUAACAGCGUAAUUUCCUAUGAAGUUCUUAUUUAAAUGGAAGAUUGCGACCUCGAUGUUGGAUUAAAAUUUAAUUUAGGUGUAGAGGCUUAAGUUUUAAGUCUGUUCGACUUUUAAAAUUUUACAUGAUCUGAGU
rnacentral:rRNA from 1 species